CUGGAGUUAAUAAGCAUGUUUAGAUAUGAUCUCAUGAAUGGAAUGCUACUACUUAGAUGCGAGAACUAGUGACACCAUAUGCUCAUACCAAUUUCGAACUCCACAAAUUGAAACACACAACACUCAAGAUUGAAAGUCAAGGGUUGUAACAGGGCUUGGGGGUAAUGGCUAACAAAGAAAUGAUAGGAAUAACAAACGUUCUUAAAGCGAUAGCAAGCAAAGCAAUGAAAUAGACACUUGGAAUUCACUUUAGAAUGCAGAAUCAACUUUUACAUAUAAAGGGAAGAUUCAUGCAACACUUAGGGCCGAAUUCAAUGUUUUUGGACCUUUUCUUCAACAAACGACAUUUUAAAGUUCUUUUUCACAACUUUUCUUCUUUUCAUUCUAUUUUCCACGAAUUUUUCUUUUUAUUUUUCUUUCCUACCCUUGCCUUAUUAAGGACUUUGGCACACACACACAAUAAGAAUCACUUCCCCCACACUUGUUUUCUGCAAUACAUUAAUAAAAAGGAAUUCAUUUUGAGUCAUGCUUUACUAUGCUUCAAGAACAAGGGUAUGGAUGGUUCUAAUCUAGGCUAGGUGAAGACAGUGUGGGUUAACAAAGAACAUAGGCUACACAAGGCCCAACGGGGUUAAACUUAAACAUAUAAUGAAGUAGGAUACACGGCAGUUUGGCUUUGGUGGUGGUCACUACACAACUUCAUCUUGAAUAUGUGUUAUGCAAAUCAAUAGCAUGCUUUGAAUGAAAUAGGCAUGAGUUCUAGCAUUUGGAACUAAAUGAUGAAACGCCUUCUAAGUAGUAACCAAGCAAAGAAUAAUGAGAUCAUGCAACGACUUUAGAAAACAAGAAUGCACAGAUUAUUAACUCUCCAAAUAAACAUUUUAGGCUCAAGUCUCACAAGGUUGUAGCGUUAAUUUGAGUUCCUUCCUUCAAGCAUGUUACAAAACUGAUUUUUCUUUUAUGAUUGCAUGUGAAUUCAUAAAUUUAAACCACAACCAAUCAUACACCAAAGAGUAAAUCAAAUUUUCAUCCAUGUUUAUAACUCUCUUUAACAGUCAUGU
rnacentral:lncRNA from 1 species